CCAAUUUAAGACACUAUUAAGCAUACUUCCAAUUUUGCAACAAUAAUUUGUCGUACAUUACGAUAUAACACAUUGAUAUUAUUUGAAAUUUUAAGAUAAGUUUCGUUAAUAUGGAUAGAUAUAUUAUACGAGAACCAAGAGCUGGUGUAGAUUAUCCCGAAGGAAAUCAAAUGACAUCGUUUUCAACAACUAAUGCCGAAAGUAAUUUCGGAUAUCCGCAGAGCAUGUAUCAUACGUACGCACCAGAGAGUCAAGGAUACAUGACUCAUAUAACUCAUGGAUCCGUCGUAACUCCCGCACAGACAUUUGGAUCGAAUGUAAUAUAUUGUUAUUGUAUGUCAAAUAUUAUUGAAUUACAAAAAAUAUUAAUAUAUGUUUAUAGUUUUAUCAGAACCAAGGUCAUAUAGUAUCUGGCAUCGACCCUCGUUACUUGGCCGCGUACUCAGACACUAACGGGUCGUUCAUAGCCACAGGUGAACUUUUUACAUUAAAACGCGUGAUAAAGACACGUUAAUGUAUAAUGUUAAUAAUUUGAACCGCCUUCAGGACAGCGGGAAUGCCCGUCGACUAGUUUUGACUUGUUCGGAAAUUAUCAGAAUCGUAACUUCAUCGGACCGGAGAGAGGCGACUAUAAACAUUACCCACAGAGGACACACGUUGGUCUGAAAUAUGAAAUUCCUCUUUAAUUUAUAUGACAUUUAUAAACAUUCAAUAAGAACCAGUGACUCCUAGUAUACAGUAUACAACACA